rnacentral:rRNA from 1 species
AUUGAACGCUGGCGGCAUGCCUAACACAUGCAAGUCGAACGAGUGGCGGACGGGUGAGUAAUGUCUGGGAAACUGCCCGAUGGCGGGGGAUAACUACUGGAAACGGUUGCUAAUACCGCAUACCAUCGGAUGUGCCCAGAUGGGAUUAGCUAGUGGGUGGGGUAACGGCUCACCUAGGCGACGAUCCCUAGCUGGUCUGCGAGGAUGACCAGCCACACUGGAACGGAGACACGGUCCAGACGCCUACGGGAGGCAGCAGUGGGGAAUAUUGCACAAUGGGCGCAAGCCUGAGACAGCCAUGCCGCGUGUAUGAAGAAGGCCUUCGGGUUGUAAAGUACUUUCAGCGAGGAGGCGGUACUCGCAGAAGAAGCAACGGCUAACUCCGUGCCAGCAGCCGCGGUAAUUC